rnacentral:rRNA from 1 species
GCGAACGGGAUUAGAUACCCUGGUAGUCCACGCUGUAAACGAUGUCGACUUGGAGGUUGUGCCCUUGAGGCGUGGCUUCCGGAGCUAACGCGUUAAAUCGACCGCCUGGGGAGUACGGCCGCAAGGUUAAAACUCAAAUGAAUUGACGGGGGCCCGCACAAGCGGUGGAGCAUGUGGUUUAAUUCGAUGCAACGCGAAGAACCUUACCUACUCUUGACAUCCAGAGAACUUAGCAGAGAUGCUUUGGUGCCUUCGGGAACUCUGAGACAGGUGCUGCAUGGCUGUCGUCAGCUCGUGUUGUGAAAUGUUGGGUUAAGUCCCGCAACGAGCGCAACCCUUAUCCUUUGUUGCCAGCGGUUCGGCCGGGAACUCAAAGGAGACUGCCAGUGAUAAACUGGAGGAAGGUGGGGAUGACGUCAAGUCAUCAUGGCCCUUACGAGUAGGGCUACACACGUGCUACAAUGGCAUAUACAAAGAGAAGCGACCUCGCGAGAGCAAGCGGACCUCAUAAAGUAUGUCGUAGUCCGGAUUGGAGUCUGCAACUCGACUCCAUGAAGUCGGAAUCGCUAGUAAUCGUAGAUCAGAAUGCUACGGUGAAUACGUUCCCGGGCCUUGUACACACCGCCCGUCACACCAUGGGAGUGGGUUGCAAAAGAAGUAGGUAGCUUAACCUUCGGGAGGGCGCUUACCACUUUGUGAUUCAUGACUGGGG